UCACUGAUAUGAAGAGCUUGCUCGGAUUUGAAGAUGAACAUUGCAAAGAGUGGCGAACGGGUGAGUAACACGUGGGAAACCUACCUCUUAGCGGGGGAUAACACUUGGAAACAAGUGCUAAUACCGCAUAAUACUGAUAACCGCAUGGUUAUCAGUUGAAAGAUGGUUCUGCUAUCACUAAGAGAUGGUCCCGCGGUGUAUUAGCUAGUUGGUAAGGUAAUGGCUUACCAAGGCAAUGAUACAUAGCCGAGUUGAGAGACUGAUCGGCCACAAUGGGACUGAGACACGGCCCAUACUCCUACGGGAGGCAGCAGUAGGGAAUCUUCCACAAUGGACGAAAGUCUGAUGGAGCAACGCCGCGUGUGUGAUGAAGGGUUUCGGCUCGUAAAACACUGUUGUAAGAGAAGAAUGACAUUGAGAGUAACUGUUCAGUGUGUGACGGUAUCUUACCAGAAAGGAACGGCUAAAUACGUGCCAGCAGCCGCGGUAAUACGUAUGUUCCAAGCGUUAUCCGGAUUUAUUGGGCGUAAAGCGAGCGCAGACGGUUGUUUAAGUCUGAAGUGAAAGCCCACAGCUUAACUGUGGAAGUGCUUUGGAAACUGGAUAACUUGAGUGCAGUAGAGGAGAGUGGAACUCCAUGU
rnacentral:rRNA from 1 species